rnacentral:lncRNA from 1 species
CAACUAAUAAAAUACAAAGGGGACCGGCGUGCAACAUGCACGAAUGCGCAGGGACUGAAUAUGGAAAUAGUCCAGAACCCAAAGCGUAGUGCUGAAGUUCGGACCACGUUGCGAACGCGCGCAAAUUAGGGGGAAAAUUUUAAAAGAAAAAGAAAUGUGAAAUGUGAGCUGAUUUACGCACCGCGCGAAAAGGGAGGGGUUUAUUAUGAAUUAACCCAUUUGACGCGCAUUGGCAUGGGUUCGGGUCUGGGAGCAGUUUGACACGCGGAUCUAAUAGCUGAAACGGCGUUGUUUCAUUUCUUUAAUAAAAAGAAACUAUUCCUUCCCCAAACAAUGAAACAAUCAGCCCUAUUUGAAAUUGAAACCCUAGCCUCCUAUUAUUUCCUUCAGCCGACCCUUAGUGUCAACUCUUAAGCGCCGAGUCGCCACCAUGAACGGCGACCAGCGUGCGCGAACCUCGAGAUUACUUUUUCAGCCUUAAGAUUCCCUCUAUACCUCGAUUUUAACGGAGCAGAAGGAAUCCCAUGGAAUUUGUAAGGUAAGCUUUUCACUUCCCUUCUCCCUUUCAGCCCAUCUGCGGGCUUCAUCGGCGCUGAAAGCGCCUCCACCCAAGACGCGAUUUUAAACAGAUCCCUAAGGAUCUAAAAUCUUGGACCGGAGAAGUGAACAAUGAAUAGAUCGACCCCCGAAUCAGGUAAGUAAACCCUUUCCCCUUUUUUAUAUAUCUUUAUGCAAUAGAUUUGAAAUCAAUAAAAAGAAAAAAAAAACGAUGAACAAAAGAGACACAUUUAAGAUGUUUGCCUCCGAUUGUUUCUUCUUCUGUUUUUUUUUUUAUUUCCAGUGUUCGUGUCCAACGAUUACAAAGAACAUAGGGCUUUUAUAUAGCCGAAAAUAAAAAUGAAAAUACAAUAAGUUUUCCUUUUUUCUCUUUUUUUUUUCUUACUGUUGUUUUUGCUGUGCUGUUCUUGUCCUUUGUUUGUCUUCUUUUACAGGUACGGAGGAGAACGUGGAGCACGUACGGAGGCUAUGCGCUGGCGUACGGAGGUAGCUGGCGAUCGGGGGUUGCUGGUGGCGCAAGGGGAACCUUAGGGUUCCUGAGGAUUGCUUGACCUUUGGGCCAAUCGGGCUAUAUUUUUGGGUCUAGGUUAAUGGGCCAUUGUAUUUGGUUUUGGGUCUAAACAAUGGGUUUGGGCUAUUGUAAUAAUUUUAGACUAAUGGACUUUUAUUAAUAUAUUUGGUUUAUUUAUUUAUUUAUUUUUUAAUUUUUGUGUUGUAACGGGCCGGGCAAAAUUUGGGCCUUACAGAUAUUAUCAGUGCCUUCUACAAAUAAAACUUCAAAAUUGAAAGUACACAAUUCAUUAUACCAUCUAAUCCUUCUAGUCACUGUUUUCAAACUUUUGUUAGUAAAGAAUUGUUUUACCGCUUAAUUAUCAGUUUUUAUGAUAACUUUUCAGGUGCUAAAUAUAUAAGAAAAGUUUUUAUUCCUUUUUUUAUUGCUAAUAAUUCUUUUUCAUAUAUAACAUAAUUAAUUUCAUUUGGUUUAAAUUUUCCUGAAUCAUAUCCACAUACUAACUCUUCAUUAU